AACAUUUAUUGUUUUUAGCUCUCGGUAAUUAAAUCUUUGAAAUGUUUUAAAUUCUCGUGUGUUAAACAAAAAUAGUAACUAUGUCUGCAUCUGAAGAUGAAGAAGGUGGUACCAGUGCCGCAGCGAGUGGCAGCGUGAAAAUCACGAAGACCGAUAGAGUAUCCAUCGCCUUGCUAGGAAUAAAAAGAGAAGCUUCAAGGAAGAACCCCUUCUUCAAAACUAUCUCUACAACCCAAGUUUCCAAAUACUAUCUGUUCGGGCCAAUUGAAGAGAACUUCCAGCAUGUGAUAUUUUACCUACAACUCGAAAACACUGCGUGUCACCAGCUUGAAUAAUAAUCUUUCUGCCAUAUUGCCCCGUUCGGUUAUCGAGGAGUAUACAUCUGCUUUGAAAAAUGUCCCUGUGGGCUCGGUUCUGUGGCAAAAGGGGCAAUUCUUUGUCUGUACAGAGAAGUCAAGUAAAACCUGCUACAAUCUAGACACUAUUCUAGAGGUGAGUCUUUCCUUUUCAAAACAAUUAAAUUAGAAUCAUGAAAGAAAUUUAAGAGAACUAUUCAAUCUUG
rnacentral:lncRNA from 1 species